rnacentral:rRNA from 1 species
AGCAGCCGCGGUAAUUCCAGCUCCAAUAGCGUAUAUUAAAGUUGUUGCAGUUAAAAGGCUCGUAGUUGAACUUCAGAUCUGGUUGGGUGGUCCGCUUAACGGCGUGUACUGUCUGACUGGGUCUUACCUCUUGGUGAGCCGGUGUGCCCUUUAUUGGUGUGCAUCGGGGAACCAGGACUUUUACCUUGAGAAAAUUAGAGUGUUCAAAGCAGGCCUAUGCCCGAAUACAUUAGCAUGGAAUAAUAAAAUAGGACGUGCGGUUCUAUUUUGUUGGUUUCUAGAGUCGCCGUAAUGAUUAAUAGGGAUAGUUGGGGGCAUUGGUAUUGAGUCGCUAGAGGUGAAAUUCUUGGAUUGACUCAAGACCAACUAUUGCGAAAGCAUUUGCCAAGGAUGUUUUCAUUAAUCAAGAACGAAGGUUAGGGGAUCGAAAACGAUCAGAUACCGUUGUAGUCUUAACAGUAAACUAUGCCGACUAGGGAUCGGACGAUGUUAAUUUUUUAAUGACUCG